UUAAGUUCAGCGGGUAUCCCUACCCGAUCCGAGGUCAACCUGUGAUGAGAGGUUUAACGGCGCGCCCGGUCGUCCUCGCCAGCGAAUUGAUUAAACCACAACGCUGGGAUUCGAACCGUGCAGCCGACAGAUUAGGGGCGCGAGAGGCCUCGCCGCCCAAGACAAGCCAGGCUUGAUGGGUGUAAUGACGCUCGAACGGG
rnacentral:misc_RNA from 1 species